UCCAUCAUGCUGUCUGCAUUCGCCAUUCGGACUGCAAAUACCCAGUUGCUCUCACCGUAGAGAGAAGGAAGGCGCGUGUGUAUGGCUUCCAAGUCAGCUAAUAUUUUUAUCAAGUGCAAUCGUUCCGUCAACAAUUAGACCUCAUGAUCGGUUCAUUUUGGAAUUUGUGCAGAGCGUGCCCUUCAAUGCCAGUAGAUAAGUUGCACUCUGAGUACAGGAGCACGUACAGAUGGCAUGAAUAUACUGGGCCCAGGCAGGAAGUUAUCCGCCGGGCACCAACAACACAACCCGGCGUCGGAGCAAAUUCCGAUGAGAAACCUAACGAACCGCCGAACACAACGCGGAUCGAUGAAGAGACACAGAACGAAUUGCCAAAAUUGGAACCGGCUCUGCCAAGACGAAAAAAACAUCCUGAUUUGGCCUACCGUCACCAUGAGUUCCUUGUUAGCGAUGGAACCAAUGGAGACGCCAUAGAUGUUGGCACAACCGAUAGGGCCAGGUCGACGGAGAGGGAAAGCUCGCAAUGGAAGCCGUCCAGGCGCAGCAAAUCGGAAGGUCCAGCCCGGUCCACGACGUUGACGCGGUCGGAAAGGCGGCGGGAUUCGGACCCGGACUUGGAAAACACGGGUCGCGAUCAGGGUCUACUCCAGAAAGCAAUAUCCAAGAUUAGCACUGAAUACAGACUACAAUUCGCUUGGCCGCAGGGCCACAUGUCGAGACGGGACCAGGAGACCACUCCCAGGAAGUCGCAGUCCAUGAACGCUAUCAAGCCCCCAGCCAACGCUGUCAUCCACAAACGACGUGGCGAUCUAGAAAAUAAAGAUGCAAGCGAAUUGGAACCAUUAGUAAACGACAAUACCAUUCAUGAAUAUCACGAAACAGCCAAAGACUUUAACACCGAAUAUAAGAAAAAAUAUAGACCUUUCUCGCAAUACGAUUACGCCGAAGGUAAAUUUAAAUCUAAACAAGAAGUUCAUGAUUUAGACGACGAAACAAAGAACGCUUUAUUAAAUGGUCCUACCAAGGAAUCUUGGUACAAAGAAGUCGUUGAAUUGAGAAAGAAAGCUGGGGAGUACAGAACUAGAGGACGAGGAACCGACAUAACCGGCGAUAAAAUCACUGACGUUUAUAAUAAACAAGUUGAACUUUGGGAUCAAGUAUCUAGAAGGUCUUCACUUUCUGCAUUAUCUUUAGCUUCAACUACACACAGGGCAUAUACUAAAGAAGAAAAAGAUCAAGAAAACACUAAAAAAAGUUCACCGACUAAAGCACUAAGAAAUGCCGAGAAUUCUGCUAGAAUGGUAAGGGAUAUGAUACGUCAUCACCUUGAAAGAACAACCGGUGGUUCGGAAUUUGACGGUUUAAUAUUAUCGCCAACGCGUGAAAAAUUGGAACCGACCAUACCGCGUAAAGACGAUGAUAUCAGAGGUUCGCAGAAGAAUAGUCCGAAGAAAAAUUCGCCGCAGAAAGUGUCACUUCAAAAGAAGUCAAAAUCAAAGUCUGUUCCUAGAACUGUUAGGUCCCAAUCAGUAGGCCCAGUAGAAGUAAAUUACGAAAAGCGCUCGCCCAAGCGCCAAUCUCGGUCGGCCACCGUCAAGGAAAAGAAGAGUAGCAGUUCAUCGACAACUCGUAGACCUAGGCCUUCAUCCCUGAACACCACUUCCCGAUCUAAAAGUAGACCAGUCCCUUCACAGUCAGAGGACGACCGGUCGGGCAAAACAAAAUCAAACAAAGCUCAGUCUAGCCAAAGAGACGCAGCAGACGGAAGCGAAGCGGAACCUGCUCCCACCGUCGACAGAGCCGAGAAAGAAGAGGAGGAGGCUGUCGAGCCCGAGCCGGAGCCCGAAGUCAUUAGCCUAGAACCCGUCGUAAAGUCCCCUCCCGAACCCACCCGGGUUAAGUCGCCCGAGCAGAUAAUCAUGCGUUCCCCCGAUCCGGUCAACUGGACCGUUCCGCUCGAUACUGGAAAAACCUUUACUGUCACUCAAAAUGUCAGAGAAGGUGACAUUAGCGCUCGACCACAGAGCGAAGUAAAGGCCUGGACGCCACCGGAAAUACCGCCCCCAGUAGCGCAGUCUGCCCCGCCGGAACUGCAACAGCAGAAAGAUCAAGGCAUGUCACUGUCGUAACUUCGGACCUGAUUUCUGCUUACCAUAUCCGAUUUGGUUGUAUUGCUUUAGCUAGGAGAGGAGGGAACGACGACCCGUCUAAUGUAGAACCAGUGGAAACAGGUGCAGAGGAGAUCG
rnacentral:misc_RNA from 1 species